rnacentral:sRNA from 1 species
UUGAAUAAGAAAACGUAUUCAAACAAGUAAAACCAAAAACCAAAGUGUAAGAUAGUAAUAAAAAGCCUCAGUCAAAAUCCAUAUAACUUCAUAGAAAUUACAGUUUCUGCCAAGGGGUUCUCCCUGUAAAACAGGGUCUCAGCUCCACUGCACCUCGAAAUUGGAUUAUAUCAUCAUCAGCCAACAAAAAGAAAUAUCACUAAAAAA